rfam:Thelohanellus kitauei scaffold04906-2, whole genome shotgun sequence.
CCGGGGGUAGCUCAGUGGGAGAGUAGGGGACUGUAGUGUUUGCUGUCAUCCUUUGGUCGCCGGUUCAAUCCCGGCUCCCCGGA